AUGUUUAAAAAACUUACUGCCUCCUCUUUUCCUAGCUACGUGGGAAUGUACUCUACACACUCUUGUCCAAAACUUAAACCCAGUUUAUUCCUAGUCGAGCUCCAGUCGACCCAAUUUGAGAUUCACUAUUCCUAUUCUUUGUUGAAGGUCUACUACUGCUUCCACGCGUUGUGUAAGCGACGUUCGAGCAACCCCGCGAGGUGGGUAUUUCUCCCCAUUUUGCAGACAUGGAAACUGGAAGUCAGGAGCUGGAACCGGACUCGGCCUCCCUGACGUCACUCAUUUAGGCUGGAUUCAUUUUCACCAGUGAUGACAUCCAUAUAAAAUAAGUAUAAACUCCAGAGUAAGAUGGAAAUCACAACAGGAAGAAUAUUGAGCCGGUUUCUAGGCUGUGCCUCUGCCCCGAUUGCGCAAUCCGUCCCCAGCAAACGCCUGCCCGGGGCAAUGCCAGGGGAUGCAGCCCGCAGCGUCAGCCUUCCCUGCCUCCUCGAAUACUCAGGUAUAGUGUGAGCACCUUCGCUUCUUACGGGUCUGAUCUCUGUCGGGACCACUACAAUCCUCUCAGGCACCAGCAGGUGUGACUAAGGGCUGCCUCUGGAGUCAGACUCAACCUAUGUCCCGCUCCACCUGAGAUGCCGUGUGACCUUGGCAAGGAGCGUCACCUCUCUGUGCUUCGGUCUCCUCACCUGUAGCACAGGGCAGCACCUGUCCCCACCUCCACAGGCGGUCACGAGGAAUCGAUAACACCAUACCCGGCACACGCUAAGCCGCCAAUAAAUACCAGAUAUUGUUAU